GGGGAUGAUCGGUUUCGACGAUGUUUGUUGAGCCAGGGGAAGCGGGCCGAGAACGCAGAGUUAUCUCGUUAACGCUCUCUGCAAAACAAUAAGUGCCAAACCUAUGCGCACUGACUUCGCUCUCGCUGCCUAAGCAGCCGGAGUAGUCCGUCAGCCCGGAGUUGCUCUCGCUCCGGAUGCUGGCGUCGUUUAGAGGGCCACUGCCGGACACUCCCGCCGUCGGGGUGUCCGGGACAAUUGACGGCUGGGCCCGGAUCGGCCACCUGUAUGCAGGAUGGCCGGGGCCGAGAAAAUCCGACGCAUACUGCGCCCGGAGAAGUCCUGGCAAUACAACAUCGGACGGGGGUUCGAUUCCCCCCAUCUCCACAC
rnacentral:tmRNA from 1 species